rnacentral:rRNA from 1 species
GAUGAACGCUGGCGGCGUGCCUAAUACAUGCAAGUCGAGCGAACGGACGAGAAGCUUGCUUCUCUGAUGUUAGCGGCGGACGGGUGAGUAACACGUGGAUAACCUACCUAUAAGACUGGGAUAACUUCGGGAAACCGGAGCUAAUACCGGAUGAUAUUUUGAACCGCAUGGUUCAAAAGUGAAAGACGGUCUUGCUGUCACUUAUAGAUGGAUCCGCGCUGCAUUAGCUAGUUGGUAAGGUAACGGCUUAUCAAGGCAACGAUGCAUAGCCGACCUGAGAGGGUGAUCGGCCACACUGGAACUGGAACACGGACCAGGCUCCUACGGGAGGCAGCAGUAGGGAAUCUUCCGCAAUGGGCGAAAGCCUGACGGAGCAACGCCGCGUGAGUGAUGAAGGUCUUCGGAUCGUAAAACUCUGUUAUUAGGGAAGAACAUAUGUGUAAGUAACUGUGCACAUCUUGACGGUACCUAAUCAGAAAGCCACGGCUAACUACGUG